ensembl:lncRNA
CAGCUCAUGUGUGAGGGAAGAGACCCCCUCCAAUGAGAAGGGAGGCAGAGAGUGGGAAAAGUGGCAACUCGGGUACAAAGGAGCAAAGAACGGUGAUUCAUAAGGAGGGUGGGAGAGCCAGGCCUGCCUGCCUCCACGCCUGCCACAGUAUAGAUUCCACGCCUGGCACUUACUUGGCAGAUGAACCACGAGCGCACUGACUGCCAGCUUUAUAAAGGUUUCUGAACUUUGAGACAACAAGAUUGAUUCUGCAGGAAAGCACAGGCCUUGAACAAUCAGCUUUGGCCUCAGGCUACAGAGGCAUGUGGGAUAUUGGCUCCCUGACUGGGGAUUGAACCUGCACCCCUUGCUAUGGAAGGUGAAGUCUUAACAACUGAACCAUCAGAGAAGUCCUGAGAAAGCCUUAAUAUGGAAAAAAAAAGUCAAUGGAGCUAAGAGAGUGUGCUUAGUAACGUAAUUAGCUUGACUCGUCCACUGCACUGCAGGUGUCCCAGAGCCAGAGAACUGGUCCAAGAACUUAGCACUCUCCACUUGUUUAGUCCAGAGAGGAUGCGGCCCUGAGUGUCAUGCUGAUGGUGAAAAUGGAGAAGCUCAAGAAGACAAAGAAAGCAAAGAAAAGGCUGAAACCCUUGGAUGCUGGUCUGGAUGAGGCAGACUGAAUCUGGGGGAGCAAAAAUGAGGGUUGCAUAGUUGUCAUGCUGAUCUCCCCUGCAGGAUGGGAAACAAGAGAAAAUGGUGACUGCUUUGUAGAGACCCUUAUCCAAUAGUCCCUGGACACCAUGUUGUGCAUCCUAAAUAUUGUCUUAUUUAAUAAAGAUGAUCCCAUCAUAAGAAACCCAGAAAAAGCCAGAAGCUAAAUUGGAGAAGGCCAAGACUAGGAUAGAAGAAACCAUGUAAAACAGUAUCAAGGUUUUGUUUGUUCAUUUCUUUGGUUUAACUAUGCAGAAGUAAACUGACAUCAGUUCUGUUCAGUUCAGUUCAGUCGCUCAGUCGUGUCUGACCCUUUGUGACCCCAUGGACUGCAGCACACCAGGCCUCCCUGUCCAUCACCAACUCCUGGAGUUUACUGUACAGCUUAUCAACUGAUAAGCUUCAGGUUACCUUACCUGUGCUCAUGCUCAGUCGUGUCCUGCUCUUUGUGAACCUAUGGACUGUAGCCCAACAGGCUCCUCUGCCCAUGGAAUUUUCCAGGCAAGAAUGCUGGAGCGAAGGGCCAUUCAUACCGCAGGGGAUCUUCCUGACCCAGGGAUCGAAACCAAGUCUCUUGUGC